rnacentral:rRNA from 1 species
CCUACGGGGGGCAGCAGUGAGGAAUAUUGGUCAAUGGACGAGAGUCUGAACCAGCCAAGUAGCGUGAAGGAUGACUGCCCUAUGGGUUGUAACCUUCUUUUAUAAAGGAAUAAAACGAGGCACGUGUGCCUUUCUGCAUGUACUUUAUGAAUAAGGAUCGGCUAACUCCGUGCCAGCAGCCGCGGUAAUACGGAGGAUGCGAGCGUUAUCCGGAUUUAUUGGGUUUAAAGGGUGCGCAGGCGGCCUGUUAAGUCAGCGGUAAAAGCCCGGGGCUCAACCCCGGCGAGCCGUUGAUACUGGCGGGCUGGAGUUGGCGAGAAGUACGCGGAAUGCGCGGUGUAGCGGUGAAAUGCAUAGAUAUCGCGCAGAACCCCGAUUGCGAAGGCAGCGUACCGGCUCCACACUGACGCUGAGGCACGAAAGCGUGGGUAUCGAACAGGAUUAGAUACCCCUGUAGUC